GAACCCCGGCGAGGGGAGUGAAAAAGAACCUGAAACCGUGUACGUACAAGCAGUGGGAGCACGCUUAGGCGUGUGACGGCGUACCUUUUGUAUAAUGGGUCAGCGACUUACGUUCAGUAGCAAGCUUAACCGUAUAGGGCAGGCGUAGCGAAAGCGAGUCCGAAUAGGGCGUUCAGUUGCUGGGCGUAGACCCGAAACCAAGUGAUCUAUCCAUGGCCAGGAUGAAGGUGCGGUAACACGUACUGGAGGUCCGAACCCACUAACGUUGAAAAGUUAGGGGAUGAGCUGUGGAUAGGGGUGAAAGGCUAAACAAACUUGGAAAUAGCUGGUUCUCUCCGAAAACUAUUUAGGUAGUGCCUCGUGUCUCACCUUCGGGGGUAGAGCACUGUCAUGGUUGGGGGGUCUAUUGCAGAUUACCCCGCCAUAGCAAACUCCGAAUACCGAAGAGUGCAAUCACGGGAGACAGACAUCGGGUGCUAACGUCCGGUGUCAAGAGGGAAACAACCCAGACCGCCAGCUAAGGUCCCCAAAUAUAGCUAAGUGGGAAACGAAGUGGGAAGGCUAAAACAGUCAGGAGGUUGGCUUAGAAGCAGCCAUCCUUUAAAGAAAGCGUAAUAGCUCACUGAUCGAGUCGUCCUGCGCGGAAGAUGUAACGGGGCUAAGCUAUAUACCGAAGCUGCGGAUGCGUGCUUUGCACGCAUGGUAGGAGAGCGUUCCGUAAGCCUGCGAAGGUGCGUUGAAAAGCGUGCUGGAGGUAUCGGAAGUGCGAAUGCUGACAUGAGUAGCGAUAAAGGGGGUGAAAGGCCCCCUCGCCGUAAGCCCAAGGUUUCCUACGCAACGUUCAUCGGCGUAGGGUGAGUCGGCCCCUAAGGCGAGGCAGAAAUGCGUAGCUGAUGGGAAGCAGGUCAAUAUUCCUGCACCAUUGUUAAAUGCGAUGGGGGGACGGAUCGCGGAAGGUUGUCCGGGUGUUGGAAGUCCCGGUCGCUGCAUUGGAGAAGGCGCUUAGGCAAAUCCGGGCGCGGAAUUCAAGGGUGUGGCGCGAGCUUCUUAGGAAGCGAAGCAAUUGGAAGUGGUUCCAAGAAAAGCCUCUAAGCUUCAGUUUAACAAUGACCGUACCGCAAACCGACACAGGUGGGCGAGAUGAGUAUUCUAAGGCGCUUGAGAGAACUCGGGAGAAGGAACUCGGCAAAUUGGUACCGUAACUUCGGGAUAAGGUACGCCCUUGUAGCUUGAUGCCCCUGCGGGCAGAGGGUGAAGGGGUUGCAAUAAACUGGUGGCUGCGACUGUUUAAUAAAAACACAGCACUCUGCAAACACGAAAGUGGACGUAUAGGGUGUGACGCCUGCCCGGUGCCGGAAGAUUAAAUGAUGGGGUGCAAGCUCUUGAUUGAAGUC
rnacentral:rRNA from 1 species